rfam:Aedes albopictus isolate Foshan contig93325, whole genome shotgun sequence.
GGGCCCGUGGCGUAGUGGUCACACGUUCACUUUAUAAGUGGAUGGUCCUGGGUUCGAACCCAGCCCCG